rnacentral:rRNA from 1 species
AUGCGGAGACCAAGCCACGACCGUGUACCUCCUCCAGUCCUCCUCAUCCUCACCUGUACGCUGCAUAUAACCAGACGGCAUGGCGGUUCUUCCAUAGAGCUCCAUCAGUAUCUAUCUCCAAAGCUCCCCGUGGUCAGGGAAAAGACUAGGGCUAGUGAGAUGCCUGGCCGCAACUUGGGCGCUGCAGGAGCAAAGAAGGAAGAGGGGGAGCAUGCCAGGCUGCCCAAGAUCGACGUGCAGACGCUCUACGUGCUGUACAUGGUGCUUUUCAUGAUGAUCUGGAUGUCCUUGUUUCGGUUUCGGUAUCCGCAGCACGCCGAGUUCCUCCGCUACACCCCGGCCGUGGAAGCCCUGGCCGCCUGCUUCUUCUUCACGUUCGUCACCCUCAUGCUGCAGGCGCUGCUCGCCAACGCGCUGUCGGAGAAGGCCGCCCCGUCGCCGCUUCCGCCUCCCGUGAACCACUGGAUCAUGGCCCUCUCCGUGUGGCUGUUCGGGGUCCUCUACUACCUGGUCUACGCCUCCAUGAACGACGGGUAUGCAGCGGAGCCGGGGUACUCGGGCCUGCUCAUCGCCGGGGUCGCGAGUGUUGUGAGCCUCGCCAUGACCGUCUACAACAUGCGGCAGCGCCCCGUCUUUGCUUAG